UCCGGUCCGCUAGGUGGCGGUACGGCGCCAUGACGCAAUGACGCCGUUCACGCGCCGCCACGACGGAAUAAAAAGAAGCGGAAACUCAAAUGAGAUCAUUUCCAUUCCCACCGAGAGAGAGAAGUCUGAGCGGGAGUUACAACCAGCCGUUCCUUGAAACUAACGGUUUUUAAAUGUCUGUUCAGCGGCUCGUCUCCUGAGGAUGCUUCCCCUCUGUACUGUCGCCUACGAUACACGCGCAAGGGUUACACCGGCCACGGGGGGGCAAUGAACUCGCGGGACACCGGGCAGACGCUGCUCAGCUGUGUCGCGAUGGGACUAAUUCCUCAAGAGGCAGAAACGCAGCAGAUGCACUUAACCUGGGGACAGGUUGACGGUCCUCGGUCGUGCUGUCGCGUUCAAUCUACAAAAUCUUCCACGGAGAUGGAAGGUGAUCGACGGCUGUGACGGCGGUAUGUUUAAGUUGAUUAAUGUAUAUGCCCGUUGACGUCUUGUCGCUGUGAUGAUGCUUUUUCCUGCCAUUCGUAGUUUCCACCAGAGGUCCUGACGGACCAAAGAUGGCCCAAACCUUCCUUGGAUGUCUGAGCGACUUAUGGAGAACAGUGAUAACUUCUGUCUUUAAUAAGUUAUCAUAACUAAAUGCAUCUCAAAUCUCCCUUUUCAGGCUGGAUGUGAAAGGGAACGUCUGGAUCUUGGAGUCCUUUUGAAGGCCAUCCACUGGAGUACAGAAGGUUGGGAGGAGUCUGCUGGCCGUGCUUUCCAUCAUCUCCGUCGAGACGCCGGUGAUUGUUACCUGGUUGAACAACUAGUAGCUGUGCUGCGUUGAUUUCUCUACACUGAGGAUUUCUGCAUCGGUCUGCUGAUCAGAUGGGACCGGCCAAAGAGUGGUGAUCGGGAGGAUCUUCCACGUAGUGCAGGACGACCUGUACGUCGAUUUUGGCGGAAAAUUCCACUGCGUUUGCCGGCGGACGAAGAGAAGCUACACCGGGGUAGCAGAGUCCGUCUGCGGCUGCAGGAUCUGGAGCUCACCGCCCGCUUCCUGGGAGCCAAAACCGACACCACGCUGCUGGAGCCCCAGGCCGUACUGCUGGGCCCGCUGGAGGGAAGGGAAGCCCGGGAGAACCAGGACUGAGCGGACUGUCACAGCCUGCUGAAGCUUAAAUCACAGGUUUCCUAAAGGGAGUCUGGGCGGGACUCGGACUGUGGAUGACGAAACAUGACUUUAAGUCUCGUUAAAUAAAUAAAUACACGCAUAAAUGAAUAAAUAGUGGAGGAGUGAGCCUGGACAUUUCAGUCUGUUUAUACUCUUAGUUCAGAAGGGUGAAGUUUCCGUUUGGACUCAGAUCUGUGAACUGAUUAUAAUAAAUAUUCUUUGUAU